GACGAACGCUGGCGGCGUGCUUAACACAUGCAAGUCGAACGGAAAGUCCCUUCUUGCAUGGUACUCGAGUGGCUAACGGGUGAGUAACUCGUGGUUGGUCUGCCCUGCACUUCGGGAUCGGCUUCUAAUACUCCGUCUACUACCGGGUAGAAACCAUCAUUAGUGUGGUGGUUGGAUAGUUUUUUCUUUGUUGGAUGAUCUGGCGGCCUCUUAGCUUGUUGGUGGGGUAUUGGACUACCAAGGAGGCGAAGGGUAGCCGGCCUGAGAGGGUGUACGGCCACAUAGGGACUGAGAGACAGCCCAGACUCAUACGGGAGGGAGCAGUGGGGAAGAAUGCACAAUGGGCGCAAGAAAGAUGCAGCGAGGAAGCGUGGGGGAUGAAGGAAUUCGGGUUGUAAGCGAAUUGCGCUAGGGACGAAGCAUUUUGUGACGGUACCUAGAUAAGAAGCACCGGCUAACUACGUG
rnacentral:rRNA from 1 species